rnacentral:rRNA from 1 species
UCGAACGGGAAACUUUUCAUUGAAGCUUCGGCAGAUUUGGUCUGUUGCUAGUGGCGGACGGGUGAGUAACGCGUGGGUAACCUGCCUUAUACAGGGGGAUAACAACCAGAAAUGGUUGCUAAUACCGCAUAAGCGCACAGGACCGCAUGGUUCGGUGUGAAAAACUCCGGUGGUAUAAGAUGGACCCGCGUUGGAUUAGCUAGUUGGCAGGGUAACGGCCUACCAAGGCGACGAUCCAUAGCCGGCCUGAGAGGGUGAACGGCCACAUUGGGACUGAGACACGGCCCAGACUCCUACGGGAGGCAGCAGUGGGGAAUAUUGCACAAUGGGGGAAACCCUGAUGCAGCGACGCCGCGUGAAGGAAGAAGUAUCUCGGUAUGUAAACUUCUAUCAGCAGGGAAGAUAGUGACGGUACCUGACUAAGAAGCCCCGGCUAACUACGUGCCAGCAGCCGCGGUAAUACGUAGGGGGCAAGCGUUAUCCGGAUUUACUGGGUGUAAAGGGAGCGUAGACGGACUGGCAAGUCUGAUGUGAAAGGCGGGGGCUCAACCCCUGGACUGCAUUGGAAACUGUUAGUCUUGAGUGCCGGAGAGGUAAGCGGAAUUCCUAGCGUAGCGGUGAAAUGCGUAGAUAUUAGGAGGAACACCAGUGGCGAAGGCGGCUUACUGGAC